rnacentral:tRNA from 1 species
GGAUUGUGGCUCAGUGGCAGGGUGCUUGCCUUGCAUGUGUGAGGCACUGGGUUCAAUCCUCAGCACCA